GAGCGCUUCUGGGACAGCAGUGUCUUUACUCAGCGAGGUGGGAGGAGCAAGCAGGUCGCAGCACAAGGGCUGAGUUGGUUUGUUCCAACUGAGGACUUGAAAUCGGACUCAAGAAAGGAGAAUAGGUCUGGCAUGAAGAAAGGCCCCAGUGUAAGUUGGUACGAGCCUCUGACCAAUACAAAGCCUUGGAGGGAACCCCUGCGAGAGAAGAACGUGGAGGAAGUCCGUGACCAGCU